UGGGGAAUCUUGGACAAUGGGCGCAAGCCUGAUCCAGCCAUGCCGCGUGAGUGAAGAAGGCCUUCGGGUUGUAAAGCUCUUUUACCAGGGACGAUAAUGACGGUACCUGGAGAAUAAGCCCCGGCAAACUUCGUGCCAGCAGCCGCGGUAAUACGAAGGGGGCUAGCGUUGUUCGGAAUUACUGGGCGUAAAGCGCACGUAGGCGGAUAGUUAAGUCAGGGGUGAAAUCCUGGGGCUCAACCCCAGAACUGCCUUUGAUACUGGCUGUCUCGAGGUCGAGAGAGGUUGGUGGAAUUCCUAGUGUAGAGGUGAAAUUCGUAGAUAUUCGCAGGAACACCAGUGGCGAAGGCGACUUGCUGGACUUAUGGUGACGCUGAGACGCGAAAGCGUGGGGAGCAAACAGGAUUAGAUACCCCCGUAGUCCCUGAGCGGGCUGGCAAGGCGCAU
rnacentral:rRNA from 1 species